CAUACAAUAUUCAAAUUUAUAUGUUAUAUCUUAUUUUAUCUUUUUAUAUUCUGAGUAUUAUAUUGUAUUUUAGGAUUUUAAAUUUGUUUAUAUGAUUUAAACAUGUACAUGAACCCAAAACAAAUCCAAACCAGAAUUUACAAGUAUUCAAAUAGAAAAUAAAUCUUUAACUAAAAAAAACGAAAUCCGAAUAGGUCCGUAUGUAACUUGAAAGGGCAUCAGAAUUUCCACCCUCACCAAAACUACGUUAAAUCGAAUUAUUAUACCCACACACUGUAGGCCAAAUGGAAAACAUGUUAAGCUAUACCUAAAAGAAAAGGUUAAGCUAUUACCCUCGAUUAAAAUGUUUACGCUUAUUAUACAACUUUUCAAAUGAUCUCUACCAAGUCUGAAAUAGUGGUAAACUUAAGUUCAUAUUUUUUGAAUAGUAGUAGAAGAAAUAUAAUAUUUUCUUAUUAUUUUAAUUUGAUUUUGAGUUAAUUAUAUAUAUCAAAAUAACUUUAUAUCAAAUGUGAAAUAAACAAAAGAAAAAGGAAAAUAGUGACUAAAGUAACGUAUUGGAGUGGCGACGAAGAUGGCGAUCUAGAUCUACGAUGAUCUCACGGCGUUGGAAUCCUGGGAUUCGAGGUUUUUAUGAGGGCUCGAUCUCGCAAUAUGUGGUUAAUCUUCGAUGGCUUGGCUUGGGGAAGUGGUAUUUGGGGAAAUCUCAACGAUUUGAAAUUUCCUUGAUUUGGAUUUUGAUUUCGAUCCUCUUUAAGACGGAAUCAAAUCCUUAUAGAGGUAUCGUAGUUCUUUCUUUUGGUAUUUUCACUCAGAGAUCUGGGGUUAAUAGAAAAGGGAAUCGCGAUGGAUUUGAUGUGGAAUUGAUUUGGGAAGUAUGGGUUUUGCGAUGGAGUUGGUUAAAGGAAAUUGAUUCCAAUUAUAAUUAUACAAGAUUCUGCGAUAAUAGGAGAAAUCGUGGGAAUGGAAUAAUGAAGAUUUUGGAUCAGUAUAAAAGGGAUAUGGGGAUGAGUUUUAUCAUCUCAUUCAAAACUUUCUCUCUUUCUCUUGAAAAAGAUCAAAGUUUUACUUUUCUUCUUUUGGAUAUGACGCAGAGUCAGCUCUUGGGUAAUGUGGGGGAGGUGAAGAACGCUGAAGGCACUCGCAAGAGGCUGAAGAUCUCGGUGCCCCACUUUGACAAUUCAGCGUUGAUCAAAACCUUUUCGAAGACCUUGCUUGGUCGCUGUAUGAAUCCUGAGAAACAGGAGAUGAAGGCGCUGAUCUCGAAUAUGCCGAAGAUCUGGAAAUUGGAGGAGAAGGUGGUGGGUACAGACUUGGGUUUCGGGAAAUUUCAGUUUGAUUUCGAGAAAGAGGAGGAUAUGGAAGGGGUUCUUAAGCUCCAGCCGUUUCACUUUGACUACUGGAUGCUCUCUCUGGCACGCUGGCAACCAAAAAAGUCCUUGCUAUACCCGUUUGAGAUCCCGUUCUGGGUACGUGUGAUAGGCGUACCGGCGGAAUUUAAAACAGAACCCACAUCCGAGAGCAUUGGCAAUGCUAUUGGAAGGACGGUAGCUGUGGAUGUAGUUCACUCCCGAGUUCAAGUGGUGGUUGAUGGGUUUAAGGAGCUCUGUUUUGAAACCACGGUGGAUUUCACAGGCGGAGAAUUCUAUGACGGCGAGGAAGCUCCAGUGUCGUUGAGGUACGAGAAAUUAUUUGGCUAUUGCCAAGUGUGUGGUAGUUUUUGUCACAAAGAUGAAGUGUGCCCAUUAGAUGAGAAGAAUAAGAAAAUGAGUCCGGAGAGGAAACAUGAAGGCAGAGAUGCAAACGGUUCAUGGCAUGAAGGUGGAAAGCAUGAGGAUAGGGCGAGGAGCUACAAGGGUGUUGUGAUAAACGGGAAUGCGCAUAAUAAGGAGAGAGAUGGACGUGAUCACUAUGGCAAAGGCAAGAGCAAAAUGGUGGAGGAGCCAGAGUUUAAGUGGAUAAAUGUAUCAGCGAAAGGAAACAAGAAGGCAUAUACCAGUCGAGGAAACUAUAGGGGAGAUGGUGAUGCUUCUCGUAAUAGACCUGCAAGGAGAGAGGAUACACGAGGUGGAGUUGAGAAUGACCAACCAAGAGAGCAAAAGGAGUACAAAGGGGCACGUGAGGAAGCUCGAGAGGAGGGAGAGAUUCGGAAUGCCGAGGAGCGGGUGGUCACAAUGCCAUCUCAAAAAUUUCAAGAGGAACUGGCCAAAACUCAGGCUGAUGGAACAGAAGCAAUUUCUGAUCCUAUAGAGGCGGAACAAGGCUUAGUAACGGUACAAGGCAUGGUGGAGGAUCAAGGGGAGUUAGAUGAUGAAGACGUGAUGGACAUGGACGAGAUUAAGGCGCACCUACUUGAGAACGGAAUAGAUAUGGAUGCUGAGGACUUUAUGGAGAAUUGUUCAGAGGGAGAGGCUGAGGAGGUGAUCAAGGAAGGUAAUGGCAAGGAGGAAGAAAAAGUGGCGUUUGUGGAAGAGGAGCAAGGUCAGAUUGGCGGUGAUGCAGGGAAGAAACAUGGGUUACGUAAGCGCCUGUUCAAGCCUGCGUUAAGCACGGUGGGGAGUUCUAGGAUGAGGGUCUUCAAUGCGCUGGCGUCACCAAGGAAAAGAGCUGUACCUAAGUCAGGAACAAGGCAAGGAGAUACCAGUAAGCAAACAGAGUUUAAGGGUCCUUUAAACCCGAAAUCUGGCCAGCAGAAGUCUUGAGUUUAUGGAUAGAGUCCCUCUACAAGAGUGGUUGAGCAAACCGGGGUUGGUUUAUGGUCUGUUUAAGGGUUUUGUUUGUUCGUCGGUUUUACUAAGCUUUAGAAGUAUUUGGUUUUCAUUUGAGUUAAAGAAUAAGUUGUGUCUGCUCUUUGUUUUGUUUCAUGGUUGUUGGUUAGUCUUUAUCUGGAGAGAAAUCAAUGGAUUAAUAAAAAUGCGCUGGGUCUUUGGUAUUGCAGUUUCUUUGUUUUGUGUUGUAUUCGGGUUUGGUAUAGUGGUGACAGUUCUUUUCAGGAGUAUGACUGUUAUGUGGAUAUGUUUAUGUACCGGAAGGUAGUGAGUGGUGGUCUAUCUGGUUUCUUUGGUUUAGUGGUGUUAAUUAGAAGAUUUAGGGUACACUGGCUUGGCUCGUAUUUGUGGCAGCAGAGGGGUUGGGGUAUAGUAGUGACGCAAGGGGGGAUCAUGCUGUGGAGGUGGAAUGGUUUCGGAGUAAGAAGUCAUUCUGUGGUACUUAAUGUAGACGAUAAGGCUAUUUUAGUUUAUUGGUCGAACAAGUAUUUGGGGACUACUCGAUUUAGUACCUGGGUUUAUAGGGUCUUGGGGCGUAACAUUACACUUUUGUUUAUCGUAUGUUGUUGUUUUAUUUUUAAAAAGGGGAGUGUAAUUGGUUUAAAAAGGUUUCAGUCUGUUGGAGGAGAUUCCUGGAUAUGUGGAAGAGUUAAAUGUUUAUCAGGUGAUUGGUUAAUUGGACAAGACUUUGGGGGGUUUAAUAACCUUACCGGGAGUAUGUUACGAUAUAUUCAUAUCAGUUUCGUUUUAUAUUGUGAUAGAGAGGCUUCGUUGUUUAAUGCUUUGAAUGAGAUUUGGAUAGUGGCAAAGAUGAAGGAACAAAGGGUUGGAGUGGUUAUGGUUAUUUUAUGGACUGACCACAAAGGGUUUCAUUACAUCCGCUGGUUUCUGGCUCUCCGGAGUAAAUAAAAAAAAUAAUUUUUAAUGAGAGUUUUAAGUUGGAAUUGUCGAGGAAUGGGAAGUAAAUGGACUAUAAGUUAUUUGAGCGAAAUACGGCAUAAACCGGAUUUUUUAUUUCUGGCAGAAACUAAGCAAGAACCAGAUUUUGUUCAAAAAUUUCAAGCUCACUUUGGUUAUGACAAUUUGGUAACAGUUGAUCCAUUGGGGCGGAGUGGAGGCUUAGCACUUUUUUAUAAUAACGAAUUUCAGGUGAAGGUAUUAUAUUCUAGCAAUCAAAUGAUUGAUGUAGAAGCAGAGGCUCUUGGCAAAACGGUUUAUCUUACUUUUGUAUAUGGAGAUCCAGUUCAAAAAAUGCGAGAGCAAGUGUGGGAACGGUUAACUAGGUAUGGACUGGCACGAUCUGAACCAUGGUUUGUUAUUGGGGAUCUCAAUGAGAUUACAGGGAAUCAUGAAAAAGAUGGAGGAUCUAUUAGGAGUGCAGAUUCUUUUGUUCCUUUUAAUAAUAUGAUAAGAAAUAGUGGUUUACUCGAAUUUCCGGCCCGGGGGAACAAAAUGUCAUGGCAAGGGAGAAGAGGAAAAGGAAAAGGGGCUGUGACGGUUAGAUGCCGUCUAGAUCGUGCCUUAGCAAAUGAAGAAUGGCACACUUUAUUCCGAUGUUCUUAUACAGAGUAUCUUGGAAUGGUGGCAUCUGAUCAUCGGCCAGUGGUGGCAUAUUUGGAGGAUAAAGUCACCAGGAGGAAAGGACAAUUUCGGUUUGAUAAGAGGUGGAUUGGACAGACGGGCCUUAUGGAAUCAAUUAUAUCAGGUUGGAUAGAUUAUAAUGAAGGAGGAAAUGAAGGGAGUACACAUAAUGUAGUGGAAAAAAAUAGUAACUGUCGUCACGAAAUUGCUAAGUGGCGAAAAGAUAAUCCUCCUUAUGGAAAGGAAAAAAUUAAUGAACUACAACAAGCCCUAGAGGAGGUGCAAACAGAUAAUUCUAGAUCUCAGGAGGAUAUUUUGGAGGUCUCUAGGAAAUUACAGAAUGCAUAUAAGGAUGAGGAAGAGUACUGGUACCAGAAAAGCCGGAAUAUGUGGUAUGCAUCUGGGGAUCUUAAUACAAAAUUUUAUCAUGCUUUAACAAGGCAAAGACGGGUUUGUAAUAGAAUUGUUGGUUUACAUGAUGUGGAUGAGAAUUGGAUUACGGAGGAAAAUGGGGUGGAAAAAGUAGCAAUAAGUUAUUUUGAGGAUCUAUUUACUACCACUUCCCCAUCGGAUUUUGACAGCUUUCUUUCAGAGGUAACACCGACCAUUACUCCUCCGAUGAAUCAACACUUGUUGAGAUUAGCGACGGAGGAGGAGGUCAAAGAAGCUUUGUUUAUGAUGCAUCCUGAAAAGGCGCCGGGGCCGGACGGCAUGACAGCUCUCUUUUUUCCAACAUGCCUGUCAUAUUAUAAAAAAUGAUUUAGUGGAGAUGGUGAAUGAUUUUUUGGUCUCGGGAGAUAUGGACACUCGGUUGAAUGUUACUAACAUAUGUAUGAUUCCUAAAACAGAGAGACCUAUGAGGAUGACGGAAUUGAGGCCAAUUAGUCUAUGUAACGUGGGUUACAAGAUUAUUUCGAAGGUUUUAUGCCAGCGAUUGAAAAUCUAUCUUCCAUUGCUCAUAUCUGAAACUCAAUCGGCUUUUGUGGCAGGAAGGCUGAUUUCUGAUAAUAUCCUUAUCGCUCAGGAAAUGUUUCAUGGAUUACGGAACAAUAAAGGAUGUCAAGGAAAGUAUAUGGCAAUCAAAACGGACAUGAGUAAAGCGUAUGAUAGAGUGGAAUGGGACUUUAUUAGGGCAUUAUUAUUGAAAUUAGGAUUUGACCUUCAUUGGGUCAAAUUGAUGAUGGAAUGCAUAUCGUCGGUUCAAUACAGGGUACUCAUAAAUGGUCAACCACGAGGUCUUAUUUUUCCUCAUAGAGGCCUACGGCAAGGAGAUCCGUUAUCACCGUAUUUAUUUAUUUUAUGUACAGAGGCUCUGAUUGCAAAUAUAAAAAAGGCAGAGAAGAGUCAACAAUUGACAGGGAUGAAGGUAGUGAGAGCUUGUCCGGCGAUAUCACAUUUGCUUUUUGCGGAUGAUAGCCUCUUUUUUUGUAAAGCUCAAAAAGAGGAGUGUCAAACCAUUCUUCGGAUUUUAAAGGAAUAUGAGGCCGUAUCAGGACAGUUAAUCAAUUUUGAUAAGUCUUCAAUUCAAUUUGGACACAAGAUUGAGGAAUCUGUCAGACAAGAAUUAAGGGAUUUUUUGGGUAUUCAGAAUAUUGGAGGAAUGGGAUCUUACCUUGGUUUGUCGGAAAAUAUGGGGGGUUCAAAGACCCAGGUUUUUAGUUUUGUGCAAGAUCGGUUAAAUAAGCGAGUUAAUGGAUGGACGUUUAGGUUUUUCACGAAAGGAGGGAAGGAAGUGAUCAUUAAAUCAGUGAUUACAGCAUUACCAAAUCACACGAUGUCCUGCUAUCGGUUACCAAAGGCUAAUGUGAAGAAACUGACGAGUGCGGUUUCACAAUUCUGGUGGAGUCCAGGGGGAAGUACUAGAGGCAUGCAUUGGAAAUCAUGGGACAAAGUAUGUGCAGAGAAAGAUGAAGGAGGUUUGGGUUUUAAGGACAUCACUGAUUUCAAUACGGCGAUGCUUGGUAAACAGUUAUGGCGGCUGAUUGAAAAGCCCAAUACGUUAUUUUCUCGAGUUUUCAAAGGUCGGUAUUACAGGAAUGCUUCACCUUUGUAACCGAUUCAUUCAUACUCCCCGUCUUACGACUGGCGGAGUAUUGUUUCUGCUAGAUCUCUGGUAAGCAAAGGACUAAUCAAAAGGGUGGGAUCAGGAUCUUCCAUCUCGGUGUGGAAUGAUCCUUGGCUCCCAACCACUCGCCCGAAACCAGCUAAUAAAAAUCAACACAAUUUAUAUCCGGAUCUUAAAGUUGAGUCUCUCAUUGACUUGGCUUCGCGUACUUGGAAUUUGGAGGCAAUUCAGGUUUUAGUGGAUCCCCAAGAUGCAAAACUAAUAGAAAGCAUUCCAUUGAGCAGGACUCAACGGAUAGAUAAAGAUGGAUGACAUUUUACAAAAAACGGGAAAUAUUCAGUCAAAUCAGGGUAUCAGGUCGAGAGAAUCUAUCCAGAUAGAGAAAUACCACCAUUACUGAUUGGUCCCACGGUUGAUGUUUUAAAGGCUUUCUGUUGGAAAAUACGUUGCCCACCAAAGAUUAAACAUUUCUUAUGGCAAUUAGUGACAGGGUGUAUAGCAGUGCGGAAGAAUUUACAAUCAAGGGGGAUUCAGGGGGAUAUUUGCUGUGUAAGGUGUGGAGCUAAUGAGGAAUCGAUAAAUUAUGUAUUUUUUGAAUGUCCUCCAGCUAUUCAGGUUUGGGCGCUUUCGAAGAUACCAUCAAACCCAACAUUUUUCCCAACCAAAUCACUCUUCACAAAUAUGGAUCAUCUAUUUUGGAGAGUCCUCCCGCAGAUGGAGGACGACCAGUUUGCUUGGAUACUUUGGUACAUUUGGAAAGACAUGAAUAAUAAAGUUUUCAGUAAUUUGGAUAUGGAUCCCAUGGAUACGCUUAAACUGACAGAAACAGAGUCGACAUUAUGGGCUGAAGCACAAGUCUUAAAUGUUCAGGGAACGGCUCCACAAAUAAAUACGACAUUACCAUCAAUUCCUGGAAGAUGGUGUUUUACGGAUGGUUCUUGGAAAGAAGGUUCUAACUUCUCAGGACAAGGUUGGCUCAGUACUUUGGUAGGGUUUGAUGGAUUGAUGGGGGUAAGGAAUGUUCGGGCUAGUCUAUCGCCUCUUCAUGCGGAGAUGGAGGCGUUAUUAUGGGCAAUGGAAUGUAUGAAGAAUUUACGUCAAUUUCAGGUUACGUUUGCAACGGAUUGUUCUCAAUUGGUGAAGAUGGUUUCGGAACCAGAGGAGUGGCCAGCUUUUGCAAGUUAUUUGAAAGACAUCAAGACCCUGAAAGAGUUCUUCACCCGAUCAGAGAUUCUCUAUGUACCACGGACGCAAAACUCAAAGGCGGAUAGUCUAGCUCGCAGUGCUAGGAAACAACCGUCUUUUGUUGUUUACAUGGAUGCAGAUCACCCGGUUUGGUUUACAGAGUCAAUAUGAGUCUGUAUAGUUGAUGACAAAAAAAAAAAAACUUUAUAUCAAAUACAUCAUUUAUCUACUAAAAAUAAGUUUUCUAUCCAAUAUUUAUUUUUCUCUUUGUAGAUUGGGUUCAACUUAUUGGAUAUAUAUCACUUUUGAUUAUUUUGGCGGCAAAAAAAAGAAAGAUUAUUUUGGCAUUUUAUCAUACCGGAAUCGAAGCAAAAUGUAGAUUGAACACCAUACCUAGGCCGAGAAAAAAAAAAACACCAUACCUAAAACAUGUUAAAUAGAUAUCUCAAUUUAUUUAUUUGUUAGUGAUACUCACACUCUAGCCCAAGUAGAAAAUUGGUUGAGCUAUCUAGCCUCGAGUAAAAUGUUUACUCUUAUUCUACAACUUUUCAAAAUUUCUCUACCAACUCUGAAAUAAGUUAAAAUUUUAAUACAAAAAUACGAUUCUUUUUUUCAUUCUUUUCAUUUUGAGUUAAUUUUUUAUAUAUCAAAUAGACCAUUUAUCUUCCAAAAAGAAGUAUCCUAAUCCCGCAUUUUUUUUCUCGCUGUAGAUUAGGUUCAACUUGUUUGAUAUAUAUAUCACUUUUGAUAUUUUGCUUUCAGUCAGAUUAAAUGAAUUUUCCUAUCUAGAUUGAACAUUAUAUCGAAAAUUCAGCAUUUUAGAAAUUAAGAAGAGCAACCAACAUCACACAAAAAAAUAGAAUAGCAUUUUAUUUAAAAGAAAAAAACAUUUAUCACGCUAUCUCAUUUGGCUUUUAUAUAUGAGUGAAUUGGGUGAAAAUCUUAGAAAAAAUAACAAAUUAAGAAAAUACCUAUGACAUAAAAAUUGUGGGGAUUCAAAAUGAUCCAGUAUAGUCAAAAUGAUAAAAUUAUCCUUUUGUUUAUAAAAGAGAUAUUUACUUGAUGACUGGUGAUAAUAGGUUAAAAAUUAAAAAAAAAAUAUAAAUGUAAUUGAGGGAAUUUGACAUGUUCGAGAACACAGUCAAAUCGGACGAACGGCAAAUCAGACGAACGAUUACAUGCCGGCGAGACGCUUAGUGGUGGUGUGUCAUGGCUAUAUCACCAUAAUCGACAAGGAAAUCGGAGCCAGCAAUUUGUUUUUAUUUUUUCUAAGUUUUGAAUUAUCAAAAUCGUGUAUUAGUGAUAGAUUUAUGUAAUUGAAAUACAAACAAUAAAAAAUCGCACAAAGCUUUGAUGAUAUAGGAGGAAACUGAAGCCGGCGGCCAUGAAAACAGCUUAAGCUGUCGAAAAUCAUAAAAAAAUUAGGGGAAGAAGAUGAGUUAUUUACAUUUAUGCCACUCAUUAAAAAAUAAAAUAAAAUAAGUCUAAGGGUGCAACUCGAACCUGGGAAAUGAGUUUGAGAGUAGCAACGUAAACCACCAGACCACUGUAACUUAUUCAAAUAUGGCUCGCAAACUCUAUACUAUAACCUUUAUUUCCGAAAAUGGUAUUCAAAGAAAGUUAGCGACAUGUUAAAUUGACCUUAAAAAUAAUCUGGUGGUUUGUAUUUAGCUAGGGAACAGAAACACAGGUUGGGUUAAAAUAAAAUUUAUGUUGCUAAAGAAAGUUGUGGAGAUUGAUUUUUAGAGUUUUAGCAUGUUUUAUGAUGUAAAUAUACGCUAAAAAAAUUAUUAACGGGUAACUCUUUGUGUGUAAGGUUUACAACAGCUGCUAACGGUGUAAAUGGGCAUUUUAUACAAGAGGAAGCCCAUGUUGUUAACCGGGUAACUUUUUUGUUAUGUCACACUUAUGAUAGAAAUCUGAAUGGCUAAGACAUUUUAUAUAACCAAAGAAAGUUUAUAACACUAAAUCAGUUAUUUAAAAGCCAAAAAUUAUAUUUGCACUAAUCCAAAACAUAUGUGUGUUAAACAGUAAAUAGGUUAACAGAAAAUGGAUAUAUAUAUAUAUAUAUAUAUAUAUUUAAGUUAGCAUGUUAACUAAUUCAAUAGAAAGCUAAACAUUCUAGUGACCGUUUAACACUUUUAAUGUGCAGGUUUCUGUCUUAGCAAAUAAUCCAGUAGCCGUCCAACCGGAAACAUAGUUUUGUUAACUUUGAUAAAAACUAGGCUAAGUUUAUUAGUGACAUGCUAUUUACAACUAUAUAUUGCUAACGUGUGAACAUCAACAAACAAAAAACAAUAAAUUUGGCUAAAAUAGUAUGUUUGCUAACCCACAGUUAUAUGAGUUAGGAUAUGUAGCAAUAAAAAGAGUAGGAUUCUGAUGAAAUCAAGAUUAUUUGGGGCAUAAACAAAAGAUUUCAAGAAUGCAGGCACCAGUGCUGCAAAUUCAGAACUUUCGCCUGGGUUAAAUUGUCACAAUCAGAAGUUAAAGGACUAAACUGAGGACGUGUCUGCAAUUUACAAAGACGUGGGUUAAUAUGAAAAUAACCAGAAGCCCAGAGGACCUGUAUUGCAAUAAUCUGUGAAAUCACCAUAAGAAGAGAUCUGAGCUUGGCUUCAACGCGGAAAAGGGCAAGUCCGUUACAGUGCAACAGCAAUUGGAGCUCGGGAUUGAUCUUGCCAUAACUGAUUCGCGAAGGAGGAUAGCUCGAGAAUUGGAGAUGGCUUCGACGGUGAAGAGAGCCAGUCGCUGCGGAGGACGUUGUAAUGUCACGGAGAAGACGAGAAUCUUGCGGUGGUUUGGAGCAAAAUCGCGAGCUAACCACUGUGGUUUACUGGAGAAGUACCAUGGCGAAAGAGAGUCGACAUUACUGUUUUUUUUUUUUUGAUCAAGGUCGACAUUGCUGUAUAUAAGAAGGAUGUCUUGAGAGAAUUUUGAGAUCUGUGAUUAAAGAACUAAUGGAAAAGUUUCUAAAAACAAGAAUAUGCCCACUUGCGUGACACAAGGAGAUUUUGUGUUAACUUGGAUUAUCAGGAUAUAAAAAAAAAAUAUGUUAUAUCUAUUACAGUUUACCGGUCACUGAUGAUCAUACAUGAGUAAGGGUAAAGUAGUAAACUAAUUCUCUCCUAACUGCAUCGAAAACAUAAAUAGUGUAUUAGCCUAAUUAUCGUAUAAGUCUUAUGUAUGGAGUGCAAAUACUCUUUAUAUAUACACCCCACGACCAUCUCUUGUCCAAUGUCCAUCGUAUUUUCCUCUUCUCCAAAGAAAAAAAGCAGUGAAAAAGAAAUGAAGCUUGUUAAUCAUGCUGUGUUGAUCCUUUUCCUAACGUUGAUCGCCGUCUCAUCGGCAAUGGAUAUGUCGAUCAUUUCCUACGAUAAAAAUCACCGCACCGUCUCCGCGGGCAGCCGGAGCGACGCCGAGGUUUCUAAACUCUACGAUGAAUGGCUAGUGAAACACGGGAAGGUUCAGAAUUCUCUUACAGAGAAAGACCGACGGUUCGAGAUCUUUAAAGACAAUCUCCGUUUCAUCGACGACCACAACGGGAAGAAUCUUAGUUACAGAUUGGGUCUUACGAAGUUCGCGGAUCUCACUAACGACGAGUAUAGAUCCAUGUACGUCGGCUCUAGGCUCAAGAGGAAAUCCACGAGGACCAGCCUUCGCUACGGGUCGCGUGUAGGUGACGCGCUCCCGGAGAGCGUUGACUGGAGGAAGGAAGGUGCGGUGGCUGAGGUUAAAGAUCAGGGAAGCUGCGGGAGUUGUUGGGCGUUUUCAGCCAUCGGGGCAGUGGAGGGCAUAAACAAAAUCGUGACCAGAGACUUAAUAUCUUUGUCUGAGCAAGAAUUGGUUGAUUGUGACACUUCAUACAAUGAAGGUUGUAACGGAGGCCUCAUGGACUAUGCCUUUGAGUUCAUUAUCAACAACGGUGGAAUUGAUACAGAGGAAGACUAUCCAUACAAGAGUGUUGAUGGACGUUGUGACCAGACCAGA